rnacentral:rRNA from 1 species
CACGUAGGCGGAUAGGUAAGUCAGAUGUGAAAUCCCGGAGCUCAACUUCGGAACUGCAUUUGAUACUGCCUGUCUUGAGUGUGGUAGAGGGGGAUGGAAUUCCCGGUGUAGAGGUGAAAUUCGUAGAUAUCGGGAGGAACACCAGAGGCGAAGGCGAUCCCCUGGGCCACUACUGACGCUGAGGUGCGAAAGCGUGGGGAGCAAACAG